rnacentral:rRNA from 1 species
GGGUUGUGAGGUUAAGCGACUAAGCGUACACGGUGGAUGCCCUGGCAGUCAGAGGCGAUGAAGGACGUGCUAAUCUGCGAUAAGCGUCGGUAAGGUGAUAUGAACCGUUAUAACCGGCGAUUUCCGAAUGGGGAAACCCAGUGUGAUUCGUCACACUAUCAUUAACUGAAUCCAUAGGUUAAUGAGGCGAACCGGGGGAACUGAAACAUCUAAGUACCCCGAGGAAAAGAAAUCAACCGAGAUUCCCCCAGUAGCGGCGAGCGAACGGGGAGCAGCCCAGAGCCUGAAUCAGUGUGUGUGUUAGUGGAAGCGUCUGGAAAGGCGUGCGAUACAGGGUGACAGCCCCGUACACAAAAAUGCACAUAUUGUGAGCUCGAUGAGUAGGGCGGGACACGUGGUAUCCUGUCUGAAUAUGGGGGGACCAUCCUCCAAGGCUAAAUACUCCUGACUGACCGAUAGUGAACCAGUACCGUGAGGGAAAGGCGAAAAGAACCCCGGCGAGGGGAGUGAAAAAGAACCUGAAACCGUGUACGUACAAGCAGUGGGAGCACGCUUAGGCGUGUGACUGCGUACCUUUUGUAUAAUGGGUCAGCGACUUAUAUUCUGUAGCAAGGUUAACCGAAUAGGGGAGCCGAAGGGAAACCGAGUCUUAACUGGGCGUUAAGUUGCAGGGUAUAGACCCGAAACCCGGUGAUCUAGCCAUGGGCAGGUUGAAGGUUGGGUAACACUAACUGGAGGACCGAACCGACUAAUGUUGAAAAAUUAGCGGAUGACUUGUGGCUGGGGGUGAAAGGCCAAUCAAACCGGGAGAUAGCUGGUUCUCCCCGAAAGCUAUUUAGGUAGCGCCUCGUGAAUUCAUCUCCGGGGGUAGAGCACUGUUUCGGCAAGGGGGUCAUCCCGACUUACCAACCCGAUGCAAACUGCGAAUACCGGAGAAUGUUAUCACGGGAGACACACGGCGGGUGCUAACGUCCGUCGUGAAGAGGGAAACAACCCAGACCGCCAGCUAAGGUCCCAAAGUCAUGGUUAAGUGGGAAACGAUGUGGGAAGGCCCAGACAGCCAGGAUGUUGGCUUAGAAGCAGCCAUCAUUUAAAGAAAGCGUAAUAGCUCACUGGUCGAGUCGGCCUGCGCGGAAGAUGUAACGGGGCUAAACCAUGCACCGAAGCUGCGGCAGCGACGCUGAUGCGUUGUUGGGUAGGGGAGCGUUCUGUAAGCCUGCGAAGGUGUGCUGUGAGGCAUGCUGGAGGUAUCAGAAGUGCGAAUGCUGACAUAAGUAACGAUAAAGCGGGUGAAAAGCCCGCUCGCCGGAAGACCAAGGGUUCCUGUCCAACGUUAAUCGGGGC